rnacentral:tRNA from 1 species
GAGGGUAUAGCUCAGUGGUAGAGUGUGUGCUUAGCAUGCAUGAGGUUAUGGGUUCAAUCCCCAAUACCUCCA